AGUAGAGUCAGCUAAUUAAGCUUUCGGGCCCAUGCCCCGGCGAUGUAGGUUAAACUCCUUCCUUUACUA
rnacentral:tRNA from 1 species